GAAACAGUAUCGAGAAACAAGAAUCUUAGAAGACAUAAGUCACAGGUAAUUGUGUGUAAAACAAUCAAAAUUUGAGACCAUAGAUCAUGAAUUGUUUAUACAACACCGCACAAGUUUUUCUUUCUUAUGGUUGCCAGCUUGAGUUCUUGGGACAUAUUUUGGAGUAUGAGGGAACGAUUAAGGAGAACUCACAAACCAUGCACUUCAAGCUUUGGACGAUGAUGUCUCUCACCAUGAAUCACCAUGUCCG
rnacentral:misc_RNA from 1 species